AGCGUACACGGUGGAUGCCCUGGCAGUCAGAGGCGAUGAAGGACGUGCUAAUCUGCGAUAAGCGUCGGUAAGGUGAUAUGAACCGUUAUAACCGGCGAUUUCCGAAUGGGGAAACCCAGUGUGAUUCGUCACACUAUCAUUAACUGAAUCCAUAGGUUAAUGAGGCGAACCGGGGGAACUGAAACAUCUAAGUACCCCGAGGAAAAGAAAUCAACCGAGAUUCCCCCAGUAGCGGCGAGCGAACGGGGAGCAGCCCAGAGCCUGAAUCAGUGUGUGUGUUAGUGGAAGCGUCUGGAAAGGCGCGCGAUACAGGGUGACAGCCCCGUACACAAAAAUGCACAUACUGUGAGCUCGAUGAGUAGGGCGGGACACGUGGUAUCCUGUCUGAAUAUGGGGGGACCAUCCUCCAAGGCUAAAUACUCCUGACUGACCGAUAGUGAACCAGUACCGUGAGGGAAAGGCGAAAAGAACCCCGGCGAGGGGAGUGAAAAAGAACCUGAAACCGUGUACGUACAAGCAGUGGGAGCACGCUUAGGCGUGUGACUGCGUACCUUUUGUAUAAUGGGUCAGCGACUUAUAUUCUGUAGCAAGGUUAACCGAAUAGGGGAGCCGAAGGGAAACCGAGUCUUAACUGGGCGUUAAGUUGCAGGGUAUAGACCCGAAACCCGGUGAUCUAGCCAUGGGCAGGUUGAAGGUUGGGUAACACUAACUGGAGGACCGAACCGACUAAUGUUGAAAAAUUAGCGGAUGACUUGUGGCUGGGGGUGAAAGGCCAAUCAAACCGGGAGAUAGCUGGUUCUCCCCGAAAGCUAUUUAGGUAGCGCCUCGUGAAUUCAUCUCCGGGGGUAGAGCACUGUUUCGGCAAGGGGGUCAUCCCGACUUACCAACCCGAUGCAAACUGCGAAUACCGGAGAAUGUUAUCACGGGAGACACACGGCGGGUGCUAACGUCCGUCGUGAAGAGGGAAACAACCCAGACCGCCAGCUAAGGUCCCAAAGUCAUGGUUAAGUGGGAAACGAUGUGGGAAGGCCCAGACAGCCAGGAUGUUGGCUUAGAAGCAGCCAUCAUUUAAAGAAAGCGUAAUAGCUCACUGGUCGAGUCGGCCUGCGCGGAAGAUGUAACGGGGCUAAACCAUGCACCGAAGCUGCGGCAGCGACGCUGAUGCGUUGUUGGGUAGGGGAGCGUUCUGUAAGCCUGUGAAGGUGUACUGUGAGGUAUGCUGGAGGUAUCAGAAGUGCGAAUGCUGACAUAAGUAACGAUAAAGCGGGUGAAAAGCCCGCUCGCCGGAAGACCAAGGGUUCCUGUCCAACGUUAAUCGGGGCAGGGUGAGUCGACCCCUAAGGCGAGGCCGAAAGGCGUAGUCGAUGGGAAACAGGUUAAUAUUCCUGUACUUGGUGUUACUGCGAAGGGGGGACGGAGAAGGCUAUGUUGGCCGGGCGACGGUUGUCCCGGUUUAAGCGUGUAGGCUGGUUUUCCAGGCAAAUCCGGAAAAUCAAGGCUGAGGCGUGAUGACGAGGCACUACGGUGCUGAAGCAACAAAUGCCCUGCUUCCAGGAAAAGCCUCUAAGCAUCAGGUAACAUCAAAUCGUACCCCAAACCGACACAGGUGGUCAGGUAGAGAAUACCAAGGCGCUUGAGAGAACUCGGGUGAAGGAACUAGGCAAAAUGGUGCCGUAACUUCGGGAGAAGGCACGCUGAUAUGUAGGUGAAGCGACUUGCUCGUGGAGCUGAAAUCAGUCGAAGAUACCAGCUGGCUGCAACUGUUUAUUAAAAACACAGCACUGUGCAAACACGAAAGUGGACGUAUACGGUGUGACGCCUGCCCGGUGCCGGAAGGUUAAUUGAUGGGGUCAGCGCAAGCGAAGCUCUUGAUCGAAGCCCCGGUAAACGGCGGCCGUAACUAUAACGGUCCUAAGGUAGCGAAAUUCCUUGUCGGGUAAGUUCCGACCUGCACGAAUGGCGUAAUGAUGGCCAGGCUGUCUCCACCCGAGACUCAGUGAAAUUGAACUCGCUGUGAAGAUGCAGUGUACCCGCGGCAAGACGGAAAGACCCCGUGAACCUUUACUAUAGCUUGACACUGAACAUUGAGCCUUGAUGUGUAGGAUAGGUGGGAGGCUUUGAAGUGUGGACGCCAGUCUGCAUGGAGCCGACCUUGAAAUACCACCCUUUAAUGUUUGAUGUUCUAACGUUGACCCGUAAUCCGGGUUGCGGACAGUGUCUGGUGGGUAGUUUGACUGGGGCGGUCUCCUCCUAAAGAGUAACGGAGGAGCACGAAGGUUGGCUAAUCCUGGUCGGACAUCAGGAGGUUAGUGCAAUGGCAUAAGCCAGCUUGACUGCGAGCGUGACGGCGCGAGCAGGUGCGAAAGCAGGUCAUAGUGAUCCGGUGGUUCUGAAUGGAAGGGCCAUCGCUCAACGGAUAAAAGGUACUCCGGGGAUAACAGGCUGAUACCGCCCAAGAGUUCAUAUCGACGGCGGUGUUUGGCACCUCGAUGUCGGCUCAUCACAUCCUGGGGCUGAAGUAGGUCCCAAGGGUAUGGCUGUUCGCCAUUUAAAGUGGUACGCGAGCUGGGUUUAGAACGUCGUGAGACAGUUCGGUCCCUAUCUGCCGUGGGCGCUGGAGAACUGAGGGGGGCUGCUCCUAGUACGAGAGGACCGGAGUGGACGCAUCACUGGUGUUCGGGUUGUCAUGCCAAUGGCACUGCCCGGUAGCUAAAUGCGGAAGAGAUAAGUGCUGAAAGCAUCUAAGCACGAAACUUGCCCCGAGAUGAGUUCUCCCUGACUCCUUGA
rnacentral:rRNA from 1 species